UACGUAGGUCCCGAGCGUUGUCCGGAUUUAUUGGGCGCAAAGUGAGCGCAGGUGGUUUAUUAAGUCUGGUGUAAAAGGCAGUGGCUCAACCAUUGUAUGCAUUGGGAACUGGUAGACUUGAGUGCAGGAGAGGAGAGUGGAAUUCCAUGUGUAGCGGUGAAAUGCGUAGAUAUAUGGAGGAACACCGGUGGCGAAAGCGGCUCUCUGGCCUGUAACUGACACUGAGGCCCGAAAGCGUGGGGAGCGAACAGG
rnacentral:rRNA from 1 species